AAUAUUAGUAACUACUCGGGUUUUUGCGAAAAAUUAAUAGGGAAGGCGGUGUGAGUCCGCCACAGCCCCCGCUGCCGUAUUAGGGGGAUGGCUGCAACAAUAUACCACUGGCAUGAUGCUGGGAAGGGGUUGCAGACAGGAGAUCCUUAAGUCGGAAGACCUGCCCGGUAGGGUGAGAUAUG
rnacentral:ncRNA from 2 species